AUUGAACGCUGGCGGCAGGCCUAACACAUGCAAGUCGAACGGUAACAGGAAACAGCUUGCUGUUUCGCUGACGAGUGGCGGACGGGUGAGUAAUGUCUGGGAAACUGCCUGAUGGAGGGGGAUAACUACUGGAAACGGUAGCUAAUACCGCAUAACGUCGCAAGACCAAAGAGGGGGACCUUCGGGCCUCUUGCCAUCGGAUGUGCCCAGAUGGGAUUAGCUAGUAGGUGGGGUAACGGCUCACCUAGGCGACGAUCCCUAGCUGGUCUGAGAGGAUGACCAGCCACACUGGAACUGAGACACGGUCCAGACUCCUACGGGAGGCAGCAGUGGGGAAUAUUGCACAAUGGGCGCAAGCCUGAUGCAGCCAUGCCGCGUGUAUGAAGAAGGCCUUCGGGUUGUAAAGUACUUUCAGCGGGGAGGAAGGGAGUAAAGUGAAUACCUUUACUCAUUGACGUUACCCGCAGAAGAAGCACCGGCUAACUCCGUG
rnacentral:rRNA from 1 species